rnacentral:snoRNA from 1 species
CCACAGUGUCGGACAAAAUCAAUGUCCCCGGCCACUCCUCCAUCUGUGGGGAGGGGGGCUGGCGUGGGCACGACCCCUGCAUAUUCCUGAUCUUCGCGUAGUCCUUCGUGGACUGUGACGCUGGGGAAAGACCAUGCAGGGGACAGUU